UUCUUUCUGUUUGGGUGAUGUAAUCU
rnacentral:piRNA from 1 species